UUCCCCUUCGGGGGACAAAGUGACAGGUGGUGCAUGGUUGUCGUCAGCUCGUGUCGUGAGAUGUUGGGUUAAGUCCCGCAACGAGCGCAACCCUUAAGCUUAGUUGCCAUCAUUAAGUUGGGCACUCUAAGUUGACUGCCGGUGACAAACCGGAGGAAGGUGGGGAUGACGUCAAAUCAUCAUGCCCCUUAUGAUUUGGGCUACACACGUGCUACAAUGGACAAUACAAAGGGCGGCGAAACCGUGAGGUCAAGCAAAUCCCAUAAAGUUGUUCUCAGUUCGGAUUGUAGUCUGCAACUCGACUACAUGAAGCUGGAAUCGCUAGUAAUCGUAGAUCAGCAUGCUACGGUGAAUACGUUCCCGGGUCUUGUACACACCGCCCGUCACACCACGAGAGUUUGUAACACCCGAAGCCGGUGGAGUAACCUUUUAGGAGCUAGCCGUCGAAGGUGGGACAAAUGAUUGGGGUGAAGUCGUAACAAGGUAGCCGUAUCGGAAGGUGCGGCUGGAUCACCUCCUUU
rnacentral:rRNA from 1 species